rnacentral:rRNA from 1 species
CCUACGGGAGGCAGCAGUGGGGAAUAUUGCACAAUGGGGGAAACCCUGAUGCAGCGACGCCGCGUGAGUGAAGAAGUAUUUCGGUAUGUAAAGCUCUAUCAGCAGGGAAGAAAAUGACGGUACCUGAGUAAGAAGCCCCGGCUAACUACGUGCCAGCAGCCGCGGUAAUACGUAGGGGGCAAGCGUUAUCCGGAUUUACUGGGUGUAAAGGGAGCGUAGACGGCAGUGCAAGUCUGGAGUGAAAGGCGGGGGCUCAACCCCGGGACUGCUCUGGAAACUGUACGGCUAGAGUGCUGGAGGGGGAGGUAGAAUUCCUAGUGUAGCGGAGAAAUGCGUAGAUAUUAGGAGGAACACCAGUGGCGAAGGCGGCCUACUGGACAGUAACUGACGUUGAGGCUCGAAAGCGUGGGGAGCAAACAGGAUUAGAUACCCUUGUAGUC